ensembl:lncRNA
AUGAACGGAUGAAUCAGUUUUUUAGGAGGAGGCCUGGAGGACAGUGCUUCUGGAGGAGCUGGCUUGCUUAGAAGACUGGAACGAGCGUCUUCAUCAGGCUGUGGAAAGUCGAAACUGCACGCUGUGAAGUUAGAGGAAAAUCCCUCUUCCUGGGGAGGAAGGAGGUCAACCAGGUGGGGGCUGGAGUCAGGUUCCUUGACCCUGGAUGGAGCCCUCGAGCUGGGUCUGCGCUGCACCGCUCCAGGUGGCAGCCCUCACCCCUGCAGAGGCCUCGAGGAACGAAUUCUCCGGAGUCUCUGGUACUGCGGUUCCGGCGUGGAUGUCUCCAAGGCUGCUGUGAACCUAUGGAUGAAACUCCUAGCUCACCCACAGUCUAUUACUCCCUGCCCUAAAGUAAACAGUUUAUGUACGCGAUGUUGCAGCUGUCUGAGACAUGCACAUUCUUUUGCCUCCUGGUGGGCACUGGGAGCUUCACGUGGCUUACUAAGACAAUGGGGACUUGGAAAGUGGAUGUGAGGCAAGGAGAUACUCAGCCUGUACCAGCACCCAGGGUGACCUCAGGAGUACAAAAUCCACAGCUGAGCCUGGGUGGGGUGGGGGUGGAGUGGUGACACGUUCAACUCAUGCAGGGCACCAGAGGCUCAUACCAGUUGGCUGGUACCCAGGGGAAAAGGGAAGAUUUCUUUUUUUCCCCUUAAUUUUGUGGGCUUUAUUCACAGAAAUCCAGAAUAAGUGGUGUGUGUGUGCGUGUGUGUGUGUAUUGUUAAACAAUCAACCACAGAAGAGGCCAAGUUUUUCUUCCUUCCUUUUACUAUGGAAAUAAGUUUAAACCUUGUUCUCCAGGCUUGGAGUGUAGUUUCAAACUAUGAGUAGGUUUAUUGUGAGAGACCCAGAUCAGCUUCAUGAGAAUCGGCCCUUCCCUCCAGUGUCUGAAGUCAUGUCUGGCUUGCCUAGAAGUCCUGUUCUGUUUUGGGUACCACUGUUUAACCUUACUUCAUAGUUUUUCAAGGGAGUAUAUCUCAUUCACAAUUUUCAUUCCAGCUUUUUUGGGAGGAGGGGGAGUUCGGUAGUUGAGAUUGGUUUAGAUUCAUAAGAAAAUUAUAUUGUUUUUGAUGUGUUUUGAAAUGAACAUGUUUUUGAUGUGUUUAUGAAUUUGGUUGAGUAGGAUUUUGUAUCCAUUAUAACACAAAAAGCAAUCCCUUUAGAAAAACUGUAACACAGGGCAUGUCAGUCCCAUCAGUUCUGACAUUUUAGGCUGGGUAAUUUUUCAUUGUUGGUGGCUGCCCUGUACUUUGUAGAGUACUGAACAGCAUCCCUGGCCUCCACCCGUUAAUGCCAGAAGCACUGUCCCCCACCCUCACCCCAGGGUGACAGUCAAAGCCGCUUCCCUCGUGCUUCAGUGGUAAAGAAUCCACCUGCCAAUGCAGGAGUCAGAGGUUCAAUCCCUGGUCGGGGAAGAUCCCACACGAGUCAGAGCAACUAAGCCUGUGCACCACAACUACUGAGCCUGAGCUCUAGAGCCCAGACACAGCAACGACUGAGCCCACGCGUCCUAGAGCCUGUAUUCUGCAACGGGUCACUGCAAGAGAGGCCACUGCAGUGAGGAGCUGGGCAGCCAAACUAGAGAGUAGCCCCCACCCCCAGCCACAACUAGAGGAGAGCCAGUGCAGCAACAAAGACCCAGCACCGUCAAACUUAAAUAAAAAAUUUAAAGUCCUUAAAGGGACA